UUAAGCGACUAAGCGUACACGGUGGAUGCCCUGGCAGUCAGAGGCGAUGAAGGACGUGCUAAUCUGCGAAAAGCGUCGGUAAGGUGAUAUGAACCGUUAUAGCCGGCGAUGUCCGAAUGGGGAAACCCAGUGCAAUUCGUUGCACUAUCGUUAACUGAAUACAUAGGUUAACGAGGCGAACCGGGGGAACUGAAACAUCUAAGUACCCCGAGGAAAAGAAAUCAACCGAGAUUCCCCCAGUAGCGGCGAGCGAACGGGGAGCAGCCCAGAGUCUGAAUCAGCUUGUGUGUUAGUGGAACGGUCUGGAAAGUCCGACGGUACAGGGUGAUAGUCCCGUACACCAAAAUGCACAGGCUGUGAACUCGAAGAGUAGGGCGGGACACGUGGUAUCCUGUCUGAAUAUGGGGGGACCAUCCUCCAAGGCUAAAUACUCCUGACUGACCGAUAGUGAACCAGUACCGUGAGGGAAAGGCGAAAAGAACCCCGGCGAGGGGAGUGAAAAAGAACCUGAAACCGUGUACGUACAAGCAGUGGGAGCACCUUCGGGUGUGACUGCGUACCUUUUGUAUAAUGGGUCAGCGACUUAUAUUCUGUAGCAAGGUUAACCGUAUAGGGGAGCCGCAGGGAAACCGAGUCUUAACUGGGCGUUAAGUUGCAGGGUAUAGACCCGAAACCCGGUGAUCUAGCCAUGGGCAGGUUGAAGGUUGGGUAACACUAACUGGAGGACCGAACCGACUAAUGUUGAAAAAUUAGCGGAUGACUUGUGGCUGGGGGUGAAAGGCCAAUCAAACCGGGAGAUAGCUGGUUCUCCCCGAAAGCUAUUUAGGUAGCGCCUCGUGAAUUCAUCUUCGGGGGUAGAGCACUGUUUCGGCUAGGGGGUCAUCCCGACUUACCAACCCGAUGCAAACUACGAAUACCGAAGAAUGUUAUCACGGGAGACACACGGCGGGUGCUAACGUCCGUCGUGAAGAGGGAAACAACCCAGACCGCCAGCUAAGGUCCCAAAGUCAUGGUUAAGUGGGAAACGAUGUGGGAAGGCACAGACAGCCAGGAUGUUGGCUUAGAAGCAGCCAUCAUUUAAAGAAAGCGUAAUAGCUCACUGGUCGAGUCGGCCUGCGCGGAAGAUGUAACGGGGCUAAACCAUGCACCGAAGCUGCGGCAGCGACACUAUGUGUUGUUGGGUAGGGGAGCGUUCUGUAAGCCUGCGAAGGUGUGCUGUGAGGCAUGCUGGAGGUAUCAGAAGUGCGAAUGCUGACAUAAGUAACGAUAAAGCGGGUGAAAAGCCCGCUCGCCGGAAGACCAAGGGUUCCUGUCCAACGUUAAUCGGGGCAGGGUGAGUCGACCCCUAAGGCGAGGCCGAAAGGCGUAGUCGAUGGGAAACAGGUUAAUAUUCCUGUACUUGGUGUUACUGCGAAGGGGGGACGGAGAAGGCUAUGUUAGCCGGGCGACGGUUGUCCCGGUUUAAGCAUGUAGGCUGAUUGUCCAGGCAAAUCCGGAUAAUCAAGGCUGAGGUGUGAUGACGAGGCACUACGGUGCUGAAGUAACAAAUGCCCUGCUUCCAGGAAAAGCCUCUAAGCAUCAGGUAACAUCAAAUCGUACCCCAAACCGACACAGGUGGUCAGGUAGAGAAUACCAAGGCGCUUGAGAGAACUCGGGUGAAGGAACUAGGCAAAAUGGUGCCGUAACUUCGGGAGAAGGCACGCUGGUGUGUAGGUGAAGCCCCUGCGGGUGGAGCUGAGACCAGUCGAAGAUACCAGCUGGCUGCAACUGUUUAUUAAAAACACAGCACUGUGCAAACACGAAAGUGGACGUAUACGGUGUGACGCCUGCCCGGUGCCGGAAGGUUAAUUGAUGGGGUUAUCCGUAAGGAGAAGCUCUUGAUCGAAGCCCCGGUAAACGGCGGCCGUAACUAUAACGGUCCUAAGGUAGCGAAAUUCCUUGUCGGGUAAGUUCCGACCUGCACGAAUGGCGUAAUGAUGGCCAGGCUGUCUCCACCCGAGACUCAGUGAAAUUGAACUCGCUGUGAAGAUGCAGUGUACCCGCGGCAAGACGGAAAGACCCCGUGAACCUUUACUAUAGCUUGACACUGAACAUUGAGCCUUGAUGUGUAGGAUAGGUGGGAGGCUUUGAAGCGUGGACGCCAGUCUGCGUGGAGCCAACCUUGAAAUACCACCCUUUAAUGUUUGAUGUUCUAACGUUGGCCCCUUACCGGGGUUGCGGACAGUGUCUGGUGGGUAGUUUGACUGGGGCGGUCUCCUCCCAAAGCGUAACGGAGGAGCACGAAGGUUAGCUAAUCCUGGUCGGACAUCAGGAGGUUAGUGCAAUGGCAUAAGCUAGCUUGACUGCGAGCGUGACGGCGCGAGCAGGUGCGAAAGCAGGUCAUAGUGAUCCGGUGGUUCUGAAUGGAAGGGCCAUCGCUCAACGGAUAAAAGGUACUCCGGGGAUAACAGGCUGAUACCGCCCAAGAGUUCAUAUCGACGGCGGUGUUUGGCACCUCGAUGUCGGCUCAUCACAUCCUGGGGCUGAAGUAGGUCCCAAGGGUAUGGCUGUUCGCCAUUUAAAGUGGUACGCGAGCUGGGUUUAGAACGUCGUGAGACAGUUCGGUCCCUAUCUGCCGUGGGCGCUGGAGAAUUGAGGGGGGCUGCUCCUAGUACGAGAGGACCGGAGUGGACGCAUCACUGGUGUUCGGGUUGUCAUGCCAAUGGCACUGCCCGGUAGCUAAAUGCGGAAGAGAUAAGUGCUGAAAGCAUCUAAGCACGAAACUUGCCCCGAGAUGAGUUCUCCCUGAGACUUUAAGUCUCCUGAAGGAACGUUGAAGACGACGACGUUGAUAGGCCGGGUGUGUAAGCGCAGCGAUGCGUUGAGCUAACCGGUACUAAUGAACCGUGAGGCUUAACCUU
rnacentral:rRNA from 1 species